rnacentral:rRNA from 1 species
UGCGACCCCAGGUCAGGCGAGGGUACCCAUGGAGUUUAAGCAUAUCAAUAAGUGGAGGAAAAGAAACUUACAAGGAUUCCCCUAGUAAUGCCCAGCGAACUAGGAAGAGGCCAGCUUUAAAAUCGGGAGGCCUCGCCGUCCUAAUUGUAAUAUGGAAGCGUCCUCUGCGGCGGANNNNNNNNNNNNNNNNNNNNNNNNNGCGCCAGAGAGGGUAAGAGCCCCGUGGUGCUCGGGCCCUAUUGAACCACGAGGUGCUGCCACUGAGUCGGGUUGUUUAGGAAUACAGCCCAAAGCAGGCGGUAAAUUCUACCUAAGGCUAGAUACGACGAGAGAUCGAUAGCAAACAAGUACGGUAAGGGAAAGAUGGAAAGGACUUUGAAAAGAGUCAAAGAGUGCUUGAAAUUUUCGAGAGGGAAGCGGAUGGGGGUCGGUGAUGAGCCCCAAUCGGAUAUGGAACGGCCACAAGUCGGUCCGCUGAUCGGCUCCAUGUGCGGACCGGCACGGAUUGGGAGGGCGGUUGGGCCCCGGUCCCCUAGAGUAUCAUCCUCGUGAUUGUGGAAGGCAUGGGGCGCCAUCAUGGCAUGCCCCAACACCUGUGCGCUGCAGGUGUCAGCCUGCGGGCCCCCCAUUUGGCCCGUCUUGAAACACAUACCUAAAAGUGUGACAUGUGUGCGAGUCAACGAGCGAGUAAAAUCGUACAGCGCAAGGAAGCUAAUUGGCGGGAUCCCCUUGCAGGUGCAUCACCGACCGAACUUGAUCUUCUGAGAAGGGUUCGAGUGAGAGCAUACCUGUCGGGGCCCGAAAGAUGGUGAACUAUGCCUGAGCGGGGUGAAGCCAGAGGAAACUCUGGUGGAUGACUGAAGCAAUACUGAUGUGCAAAUCGUUCUUCUGAUUUGGGUAUGGGGGCAAAAGACUAAUUGAACUGUCUAGUAGCUGGUUCCCUUCGAAGUUUCCCUCAGGAUAGCUGGAGCUUCUAUGCGAGUUCUAUUGAGUAAAGCCAAUGAAUAGAGGCAUCGGGGGCGCAAUGCCCUCGACCUAUUCUUAAACUUUAAAUAGACACGACUGCUUUGUUGAGCCGCGCCACGGAAUCGAGAUGCUCCUAUUGGGCCAUUUUUCAUAAGAAGAACUGGCAAUGCGGGAUGAAUUGGAAGCUGGGUUACGGUGCCCAACUACGCGCUAACCUCAAUCCCACAACGGGUGUCGGUAGAUUAAGACAGCAGGACGGUGGACGGUGGUCAUGGAAGUCAAAAUCUGCUAAGGAGUGUGUAGCAACUCACCCGCCAAAUCAACUAGCCCGAAAAAUGGAUGGCGCUGAAGCGCGCGACCUAUACCCGGCCAUCGAGGCAAGUGCUAGGCCCCGAUGAGUAGGACGAUGCAGUGGUUGCUGCAAAACCUAUGGCACGANNNNGGGUAGAGUGGCAAUCGGUACAGACCUUGGUGGUAGUAGCAAAUAUUCAAAUGAAAACCUUGAAGGCCGAAAGAGCGGUUCCAUGUGAACGGCGCUUGGACAUGGGUUAGCCGAUCCUAAGAGACGGGGGAAGCCCACCCGACAACGCAUUUUACGCGAGCUUUGAAAGGGAAUCGAGUUAAAAUUUCCAAACCAAGAUGCGGCGGUUAACGGCAAAGCUAGGGAGUCCAAAGACAUUGACGGGGGCCCCGGGAAGAGUUAUCUUUUCUAUCUAAAAGCCUGCCUACCCUGGAAACGACUCAAUUGGAGGUAGGGUGCAGCGGCUCGAAGAGCACCGCAGGUCGCGUGGUGUCCGGUGCGCCCCGGCCGGCGGCCCUUAAAAAUUAGGAGGAUCGAGUGCCGACCAUGCCUGGUCGUACUCAUAACUGCAUCAGGUCUCCAAGGUAAACAGCCUCUGGUCGAUGGAACAAUGUAGGCAAGGAAAGUUGGCAAAAUGGAUCCGUAAUUUUAGGAAAAGGAUUGGCUCUAAGGGCUAGGCACGGAGGUCAUCCCGAACCCGUGGGUUAUCGGCGGACUACUCGAGCUACUCGCACGGUGAGAGCGAGUCGCCGCAUGCCGGUCGGGGGAUGCACUGGGAAUGUGCCCUUCAAGGGCUUUCCCUUGGCGUUGAACAGUCAACUCAGAAUUGAUACGGACAAGGGGAAUCCGACUAUUUAAUUAAAACAGAGCAUUGUGAUGGUCCCUGCGGACGUUAACACAAUGUGAUUUCUGCCCAGUGCUCUAAAUGUCAAAGUGAAGAAAUUCAAUCAUGCACGGGUAAACGGCAAGAGUAACUGUGAUUCUCUUAAGGUAGCUAAUGCGGCAUCAUCUAAUUUGUGACGUGCAUGAAUGGAUUAAAGAGAUUCCACUGUCCCUGUCUACUAUCCAGCGAAACCACAGCCAAGGGGACGGGCUUGGCAAAAUCAGCGGGAAAGAAGACCCUGUUGAGCUCGACUCUAGCCCGACUUUGUGAAAUGACUUGAGAGGUGUAGCAUAAGUUGGAGCUCUGAUGCAAGUGAAAUACCACUACUUUUGUUAUUUUACGCACUCUGUGAGUCGGAGGCGGGGCAUCGCCCCUCUUUUUGGCCUAAGACUCGCUUUGCAGGCCAAUCUGAGAGGAGGACAUUGUCAGGUGGGGAGUUUGGCUGGGGCGGCACAUUUGUUAAAAGAUAAUGCAGGUGUUCAAAGAUGACCUCAAUGAGAACAAAAAUCUCGUGUGGAACAAAAGGGUAAAAGCUCAUUUGAUUCUGAUUUUCAGUACGAAUAUUACCCGUGAGAGCAUGGCGUAAGGAUCCUUUAGACCUUCGAAAUUUGAAGCUAGAGGUGUAAGAAAGUUUACCACAAGGAUAACUGGCUUGUGGCAGCCAAACGUCCAUAGCGACAUUACUUUUUGAUCCUUCGAUGUGGGCUCUUUCUAUCAUUGUGAAGCAGAAUUCACCAAGUGUUGGAUUAUUCACCUACCAAUAGGGAAUGUGGGCUGGGUUUAGACCGUCGUGAGACAGGUUAGUUUUACCGCACUGAUGGUAGUGUCACGAUGGUAAUUCAACCUAGUACGAGAGGAACCGUUGAUUCACAUAAUUGGUCAUCACACUUGGUUAAAAAGCCAAUGACGCGAAGCUAUCGUGCGCUGGAUUAUGACUGAACGCCUCUAAGUCAGAAUUCGAGUCAGAAUCGACACAUACGCCCGCUGCCUAAUUACCGACCUGCAGUAAGGGCCUCAGCCCCCAAGGGCACGUGUCGUAGGCUAAACCAGUGCGAUGGAUGCACCACAAGGGCCGCCUUGAAGUGUAAUUCCUACUGAGCGCCAGGUUGAAUGCUUUGCAGAUGACUUAAAUAUGCGACGGGAUAUUAUAAGUGGCAGAGUGGCCUUGCUGCCAUGAUCCACUGAGAUUCAGCCCUAUGUUACUUCAAUUCGU